rnacentral:rRNA from 1 species
AUGCUCAAACUUAGAAUCUUAGGGCUAGCAGCAAUCGACCACGCAAGGAAGCUCCAGGCUUCCAGGAUCACAUGGCUGCGCACUGGAGAUGCACCCUCAGUAUUUUUCUAGGCGAAGAUCAAUGCUAGGAGGCGGAAGGCAUUCAUCCACACACUUCAGGGACCAUCUAGAGUUGUUACCUCGCAGGAGGACAAGGAAAACAUGAUCCACGAUCAUUUCUCCUCCCUACUGGGCACGGCAUCACACCGCAACACCACCGUCAACUAGCAAUAUCUAGCCAUGGCCAGGCUACAAGGCGGAGGGCUCGAUAACCCAUUCAUAGAGGUGGAAGUGUGGCAUGCAAUCAAGGCAUCACCGGCUGACCGAGCAUCGGGCCAGACGGCUUCUCCGGCAUCUUCUUUAGGUCAUGCUGGGCAACAAUCAAAGUAG